UGGGGAAUUUUCCGCAAUGGGCGAAAGCCUGACGCAGCAACGCCGCGUGCGGGAAGAAGGCUUUCGGGCUGUAAACCGCUUUCAGCAGGAACGCAAAUGACGGUACCUGCAGAAGAAGGAGCGGCCAACUAUGUGCCAGCAGCCGCGGUGAUACAUAGGCUUCAAGCGUUGUGCGGAUUUAUUGGGCGUAAAGCGUCCGUAGGUGGUUGUUCAAGUCUGCGGUUAAAGCGUGCGGCUUAACCGCAUAUC
rnacentral:rRNA from 1 species